rnacentral:lncRNA from 1 species
AUUAACGCAGGUUCUUAGCUGGAGUUUUUAAGAAAAUUAGGCAAUUAAUUAAAUGAAAACAAAAAGAAAAUUGUAUAACCGAUCCUUAAUUCAUAGUUUUUGCAACCGAUCACAAAGCAGGUCCUUAGAACACGUGUCAGGCAACCAAGCCUUUUUGAUUUUUUGUUUUGAUUUUUCUUUUUUUCUUUCUUUUCUUUUAUUUUCUCUCAUAUUUUCUUGUGUUCUCCUUCAAGACGACGACGACUGCGUUCAUGAAAGAGGCCUCUCCACCGUUCAAUCGGCGUCUCCACCGUUCAAUCGACGUCUCUUCCGUUUAAUCGGCGUCUCGUCUGUGCAAUUGACGUCUCCUCCGUGCAAUCGACGUCUUCUCUGACUUUCCCUUGUCUCGUCUGCUCCGCCGCUAAAAGGCGUCUCCUUCACUGGUCUUCUCCGUCGCGAAGGAAAGUGAUUGAUUAGGUGGUGAUUAGAUGAUGCCACCCCAUCUCCUCUAUCUUCUGAUCGGUGAGAUCCUUUUGAUAUUCACACUUAAUACGAUUGAUUAGGUGGUGAUUAGAUGAUGAGAUUGAACCUUGAUUUGAAUUUUUUUAGGGAGGAGGCAGAUGGGGUCCGAUCCUUGUUGGCUAAUUACGUGGUGAUAGAUGAUGAGAUUGAACCUUGUUGGCUAAUUAGUGAGGCUUGUUCUUGUUCUUGUUAAAAACAAGUGUUCUGUUUUCAUUUAAGUUAAAAUGUUGGCUAAUUAGUGUCGCUUGUUCUUGUUGUGGUUUCCGUUUAAGUGGCUUGUUCUUGUUCUCUUUUAAUUGUGUUGUUGCUUUAAGUGUAUUGUUCUUGUAAGGAAGAAUCUCUGUUGGUGUUGUGUAAUGAAGAGUCUCUGUUGUUGCUUUAACUGUAUUGAUCUUGUUAUAUUUUUUUGUGCUCUUUUCUUGUGUGUAAAUGCAG